CACUAAGAUUUACAAAUUUUCCAGAGUUACAGGAGCAGCAGAUCUGGGAGGGAGACUGGCUUGGGGAGUGACAGUUCUGAAAAAACACCAAAUUGGGAAGAGCUAUUUGUGGAGCCCCACAUGUGAAUAGUUCACACCUCUGGGUUCAAUCCCAGCAUCCUGAAAGGCUGUGGCAGGAGGGUCACAAAUUCCAGGGGAUCCUGGGUAAUUUAGUGAGACCAUGUCUCAAAAUAAAAUUUAAGGUGGGUGUAGUGGUGCAUGCCUGUAAUCCUAGCUCCAGCAAUGUAGAGAAGCCCUAAGCAACUGAGCAAGACCCUGUCUCAAAAUAAAAAAUAAAAAGGGCCGAGGAUGAGGCUCAAUGGUUAAGUGCCCCUGAUUUCAAUCUCUGAUGAAAGAAAAGAAAAGAAAGAAAGAAAGAAAGAAAGGAAAGAAGGAAGGAAGGAAGAAAGGAAGAAAGAGAAAGAAAGAAAGAAGAAAGCAGGGGCAGCGUUGGAGCAGAACAGAGUGAACAUAAUGUGGACACUGUCCUCCUUGGGGAGCUAGAUGGAGUUGGGGUCAAGGAACUAUCAACACCGUCCUGCUCAUCCUGCCCAUGAUGAUGGAAAAGGAAAGUCCAAGAAGAAGUUGGGUCUGAGCUGGAGUCUGCAAAAGGGUCAUGUGAGAGGAGCCCCGAGGUGGCAGCACUAGGAGGGGAUUCUGCUUCGGAGCUUCAUGCCAACCUAUCAUCAUGAACUCUCAAGCCAAGGUAGAUCCAGCACCUGGAAGUGACCUGGUUUUUGCAUGAAUGUUUAGAAGUUAUAUGUGUGAUAGGCUCCUCUCCCUCAGAAAACAGCAGUGCACUGGAAAAUCAGCAUGCAUCCAAGGCAAUGUGUAGUUAUGUUUUUAGAGUAAAUUGUCCAAUGUCCACUUUGAUCCAGUCAACAGUUGCUUCUAGAUGAAGGCAGGGCACAUGCAUAGUCCCAGCUGACUCCCUUCUGUUGAACUAGGAUAUUUCUCAGUGGCACAGGCAAGGUACUAUAGACAGGAACUGCAUAUGAAGCAGCAUCUCCUUUAAAAUACGCAGUUGUCAUCUUUUAUCCAUUGGGGAAGACAUUCCAGGACCCAAUGGACCUCUGAAGGGUAACAAAUGCCAUAUAUAUUUGUGUUUUGUAUACUAUACAUAUAUACCUGUUAUGAAAUUUAUUAGUUAAGCACAAUAAAAAAUAAUAAAACAAUUUUAACAACAUACUGUAAUA
rnacentral:lncRNA from 1 species